AUUAAGCAUAUAAUUAAGCGGAGGAAAAGAAACUAACUAGGAUUCCCCCAGUAAGGGCGACUGAAGCGGGAAGAGCUCAAGAUGUGAAUCUGCGCGUACAAGUACGGCGCCGAAUUGUGGUCUGUAGACUGUGACGCCAUCUGCCGGGCCAAGUUCCUUGGAAAAGGACAGCUGAGAGGGUGAGACUCCCGUCCGCCUGGUGGAAUGAGUCGCAUGUCAACGAGUCGAGUUGUUUGGGAUUGCAGCUCAAAGCUGGUGGUAAAUUCCAUCUAAAGCUGAAUAUUGGUGGGAGACCGAUAGCGUACAAGUACCGUGAGGGAAAGAUGCAAAGAACUUUGAAAAGAGAGUUAAAGAGUACCUGAAAUUGCUGAAAGGGAAGCGAAGGAAACCAGUGUUGUUGCCUGGUCAUACUUCCCGCACCACCUGUGGUGUGGGCGCUGUGGCCGGCAGUGGUUCCGCUUGUUUGGCGUGGGUGGAAGAGCGCGGUCAGAGUUGAUGUCCGUUGCUGGCACCCGGGUCGAACGAGCGAGACGAAAUGGUUUUCUUUACCCCGUCUUGAAACACGG
rnacentral:rRNA from 1 species